rnacentral:rRNA from 1 species
AUUCAUUUUCUUGAUGCAUGGUAUAGCAAAACUGCAAAUGGGAGUUGACAACGUAUCUGCUUGGUUCGGCAGUAUUGGGUUACCAACAUCUUUGGCUUAUCUUGUGAUUUUAAUCGAAGUGUUAGGUGGAAUAGCCCUAAUUGUAGGAUUAGGUUCUCGAUAUGUAGCUAUUUUCAUGAUUCUCACGAUGAUUGGAGCGAUUUUUAGUGUUAAGUUGUCAGCAGGAUUAAUGGGUGAUGGAAAGGGUGCUGGGUAUGAACUAGACCUUGCUUUAAUCGCGCUCAAUCUAUUAUUUGUUCUAAAACCUUAUGAAGGUGUUGGAAUCGAUUCAUAUUUACAGAAGGGAAGAAAUCAAAACAAUUAAAAUUAAGACAUAAAUCAAGGGAUACUUAUGAUCGGGUAUUCCUUGAUUGUUUUCCUCUUUAUUUUAUUAAAAAAGUGUUGACUCUAUUAACCUAGCAUGAUAUAUUAUUUCUUGUCGCCGCGACAAGGCGGCACGAAACNACUCAAAGGAAUUGACGGGGGCCCGCACAAGCGGUGGAGCAUGUGGUUUAAUUCGAAGCAACGCGAAGAACCUUACCAAGGCUUGACAUCCCGUUGACCGGGGUAGAGAUACCCCUUCCCUUCGGGGCAACGGUGACAGGUGGUGCAUGGUUGUCGUCAGCUCGUGUCGUGAGAUGUUGGGUUCAGUCCCGCAACGAGCGCAACCCUUAUCGUUAGUUGCCAGCAUUUAGUUGGGCACUCUAACGAGACAGCCGGUGAAAGCCGGAGGAAGGUGGGGAUGACGUCAAAUCAUCAUGCCCCUUAUGUCUUGGGCUACACACGUGCUACAAUGGCCAGUACAAAGGGUUGCGAACCCGCGAGGGGGAGCUAAUCUCAUAAAGCUGGUCUCAGUUCGGAUCGUAGGCUGCAACUCGCCUACGUGAAGCUGGAAUCGCUAGUAAUCGCGGAUCAGCAUGCCGCGGUGAAUCCGUUCCCGGGCCUUGUACACACCGCCCGUCACACCACGAGAGUUUGUCACACCCGAAGUCGGUGAGAGAACCUUACGGACUCAGCCGCCGAAGGUGGGGCAGAUGAUUGGGGUGAAGUCGUAACAAGGUAUCCCUACCGGAAGGUGGGGAUG